GAAAAGAGAGUGCAAGAGAACGUGAAACCGAGAUAAUGGAAACAAAUGGAAUUGACCUAUCUAGUUUGUAUUCAAUAACAUUACUUUAAUUUUUACACUAUUAUAUAACAUUCCGUUAAAGUUGUUUUUAUAUAAUAGUUUGUUAAUUAUGUACAUGUUAUGCAUUUACAAACAGAGUGCGCUGAAUGAAUUGAUUUUGCCAUUGGAAACUAAUUUAGAGGACUAAUGUACGUUAAAAAUACAUUAGAAACCUAAAUAAUAGUGGACGAUUUGGAUAAAAUUGAUUUCUGUAAUUAUAAUAAGAAAUAUUGGUGUUAUUUUAGCACAUAAUUUUACUAAUACAUGCAUGUUAUUUUUAUAAAACACAUGUGUUUUAUUUUAUUAAUAUGUAUGUUUAUUAGUUUAAAUUAUCCAUGUAUUUCGUAAUUCGGUGUCUAGUCAAUCACCCAUUUGACCCGUCUUGAAACACGGACCAAGGAGUUUAAGGUGUACGCAAGUUAUUGAGCUUAAAUUUUUAACGAAACUCAAAAGCAUAAUGAAAGUGAAACACUUUAGUGUUUAUGAUGUGAAUAGUGGUUUUAAAUUUAAAAAAUUUACACUAUGCAACAUCACCCCAUGACUAGAACAUGUUCUGUUGUGGAGGUUGAGCGUACGCUUUGAGACCCGAAAGAUGGUGAACUAUGCCUGAACAGGAUGAAGCCAGAGGAAACUCUGGUGGAAGUCCGAAGCGGUUCUGACGUGCAAAUCGAUCGUCUGAUUUGGGUAUAGGGGCGCAAGACUAAUCGAACCAUC
rnacentral:rRNA from 1 species